UUUUAUUAUAAACCACCAACACUUAUAUUUUUCUCACCUUUCUUCAUCUUCUUCUCCUAUCUUCAUCAACAUAAUCAUUCCUAAAAAAACAGAUUACUACCAGGACCAUAAUCAUUUCUAAAAACAAUUCUUAAAAACAUUCUCAACAUUACACCUCCGGCGAAAACCACCAUCUUCCGUUCAAGCUUAAGGUGUUUUUUACGCCGGCGCAUUCUCCAGCGGUUAAGAAGCUGUUCAUCUCCGCUUACAAAAACUGCUCCAGCAACUGAUUAAAUCUAGAUCCAAACAGAAACUUCAAAACAGCGGCGAUAACAUAUUGUAGAAACUGCUACAACAACUGAUCGAAUCUAGAUCCAAACAGAAAUUCAAUUGAUUUAGAGAUGAAACCAUGAAUUAUCGCGCUACCACCGUUUUGAUCGGCGUCGGCUUCGCGGAGGACGUUUACAAGUUUGAAAGGUGAAAACUAUAUGUGACGGAAGCGGCGAAAGCCUUGUCAAUGUCAACGUGAAGUAACGAUUUCGUAGAGAAAGGACUGAGACGGUGGUGCAGUGAUUCGAUGUCAUUUACGGCGGCAAGAUAAAACGGAAACUAAGUUCUCAAAAAAAUCCAUUUUUUAAAUGUCGUGGGAAGGAUAGAACGACAAUUUGGAGAGCUGCGUAAAUUAACAUCAUCCAUUCCCUCAUCAGAUUUCGUGUUGCACACGGUGCUUCCUUCACUGAAAUUAUCACUAAUCUAUCAGGUAAAAAUAAAUAAAGGAAGAAAAAGGAAAGUUAAAGAAUGGGAUUCGAGUUGGUGAUUUCAUUGCCAUUAAUAUUAUUCAUCUUGAUAUUAGCUUUAGCUUGUUACCUGUUGGGCAAGUACAGAGGUCGCAAACAAUCAUCUUCCCAACCACAGCAGUAUGGCCCACCAGCUCCUCCACCACAAGCUCAACCAUAACAAAAGGUCCAAUGAAUGCCAUAUUUUUUUGUUUAUUUUUUUUGUUUUAUAUAUAAAAUGUCGUGGAUUAUAAUAUGGACUUGGAAAACUGUUUUAUAAUUUGUAAUAAAUAUUUACAAAUAUGAUGGAUUCUUAUUAAUUUAUUAUCACUCAUGCUUCAUAUGGACUUGAA